AACUGGGAUUAGAUACCCCACUAUGCCUAGCCAUAAACUUUGACUACUUACGCAAAAAUCCGCCAGGGAACUACGAGCCUAAGCUUAAAACCCAAAGGACUUGGCGGUGCUCCAAACCCACCUAGAGGAGCCUGUUCUGUAAUCGAUACCCCUCGCUAAACCUCACCACUUCUUGCCAAACCCGCCUAUAUACCACCGUCGCCAGCCCACCUCGUGAGAGAUUCUUAGUAGGCUUAAUGAUUUUUCAUCAACACGUCAGGUCAAGGUGUAGCAUAUGAAGUGGGAAGAAAUGGGCUACAUUUUCUAUACCUUAGAAUAAACGAAAGAUCUCUAUGAAACCAGAUCGGAAGGCGAAUUUAGCAGUAAAGAGAAACAAGAGAGUUCUCUUUAAAACGGCCCUGGAGCGCGCACACACCGCCCGUCACCCU
rnacentral:rRNA from 1 species